UACAACUUUCAACAACGGAUCUCUUGGCUCUCGCAUCGAUGAAGAACGCAGCGAAAUGCGAUAAGUAAUGUGAAUUGCAGAAUUCAGUGAAUCAUCGAAUCUUUGAACGCACCUUGCGCCUCUUGGUAUUCCGAGGGGCACACCUGUUUGAGUAUCGUGAAAU
rnacentral:rRNA from 1 species